AGCGAACGCUGGCGGCAGGCCUAACACAUGCAAGUCGAACGAAGUCUCCGGACUUAGUGGCGGACGGGUGAGUAACACGUGGGAACGUGCCUUUAGGUUCGGAAUAACUCAGGGAAACUUGUGCUAAUACCGAAUGUGCCCUUCGGGGGAAAGAUUUAUCGCCUUUAGAGCGGCCCGCGUCUGAUUAGCUAGUUGGUGAGGUAAAGGCUCACCAAGGCUACGAUCAGUAGCUGGUCUGAGAGGAUGACCAGCCACAUUGGGACUGAAACACGGCCCAAACUCCUACGGGAGGCAGCAGUGGGGAAUCUUGCGCAAUGGGCGAAAGCCUGACGCAGCCAUGCCGCGUGGAUGAUGAAGGUCUUAGGAUUGUAAAAUCCUUUCACCGGUGAAGAUAAUGACUGUAGCCGGAGAAGAAGCCCCGGCUAACUUCGUGCCAGCCGCCGCUGUAACAC
rnacentral:rRNA from 1 species